rnacentral:rRNA from 1 species
CGGCAACGGAUAUCUCGGCUCUCGCAUCGAUGAAGAACGUAGCGAAAUGCGAUACUUGGUGUGAAUUGCAGAAUCCCGUGAACCAUCGAGUCUUUGAAUGCAAGUUGCGCCCGAAGCCAUCAGGCCGAGGGCACGCCUGCCUGGGCGUCACACGUCGUUGCCCCC